CAUUGCGUAUUGGAAAUGGUGUGCUGCCUAGCUACCAAAUCGCCAACAAAGAGACCAAGUACUGGUUCUACCCACGAAACAGACUUGCGAGCGUUUCAAUAAGCCUUGGACUUUUGAUGCAAUUAAGCUCAAAUAAAUAGGUCUACAAUAAACUACCAAUUAUUUCAUAGUUUCUUAGUCAUUUUUCUGUUUUGAAAACUAAUUACUAAGCUUUCUUUUUUGUAUACAUGUAGGUGACUUACGUAAUUCUUGAAAAUUAUGUUAUUGCCAACAUGAGAACAAAUAAAAAUACGCUAACUCACUAACAUUUCCAGCAUCACUAGCAACUUACAUUAAAUUGGAUAAAUAAAUGGGAGAAAAAUCAGGUAAUAUUAAGUGUUCUCCGGAAGCACCGGCAGCUGGGGAUUUCAUUAUUUCUAGAUGCCGACUACUUUAAAGGGAUCUUUUCACGCUUUGGUAAAUUGACAAAAUUGAAAAAAGUUGUUUCAGAUUCGCAAAUUUUCGUUAUAGUUAUGAUAUUUGUGAGGAAACAGUAAUACUGAACAUUUAUCAUGGUCUAAUAUAGCCAUUAUAUGCAUCUUUUGACGAUUUUAAAACCUAAAAAUUAUAAAGCGUUGCAACGCGAAACGAUUGAAUAAUUUGGAGAGUUCUGUUUUUGUCGUGAAAUUUUGUGAAACUACGAAGAUUGCUUAUAUAACGUAUAAAAUACAUCAUGUAUAUGUACACGGCGGAAUAGCUCAGUAGGCUAAAGCGUUUUUACUUCAGGACUCUGGCAGGGCUGCAGGGGUCACUGGUUCGAAACCUGGUCCGGGCAAUGUUCUUUUCCUUUUUUUAAUUUUAUUCUUGAUUUUUUACUGGAGCUUUUACGAUCCAAUGUUUACAUUUAUCGAUAUAAAGCAUUUAAUGAAUCAGUUAAAAAAUGCCAAAAUCUGUGAAAAGGCCCCUUUAAAAUAUCAAUUGAAAUAGUGGACAUACACCAGUUUUAUUGCUUAGAUGCCGGCUACUUUAAAAAUAUAACUGGCUUCUGAAAUUUUUCUGAACACUGUAAUAUUGCUUCAGGUAGUAUUCAACCAAUAUUAAACAUUACAGAUUAGAAACAUAGAAUCAGUUUAGUUAGUAAAUACUGUAAAAUCAUGUAUAUUUUUCGGCGUGAAAUUUAGUGUUUUUUACAAAUGACCAAAACUAUUUUUGAUAUAAGAUUCUGAAAAUAAAGAGAAAUUUUCCAGGUAAUUUUCAGAAAUGUUUGUUUUAAAUAUGUGGACAGGUCAACUUGAGAAAUCAACGAAAAUUAAUGUCCAACAAAUAAUAAUGAUUUUACAGUAUUAAACAAAACACAAUGCUAAUUUGAAGAAUUGGAAAGCGGAUGAUUGUUGUCAAGGGAUUAUUGCAGAGGGAUUGUUGUCAAGGGAUUGUUGCAGGUUCUCAAGGGAGUAUUGCUGGGGGGGGGAUUGUUUUGCAGACACCCUUGUCUCUUUACUGGCAAGCUGCUUUGGAAGGGGUCUACAAAGGAAAGAUCUAUAGUAACAGAGCACUGAUUUAUGCUCCUUAUUUCUGUCACCCCCAUCCCUACUUUGGACAAGUCAAAACAAAACACAGAUAUCGGAGAUACAUGUGAACCAUGUAUUGAUAAUGAAGACCAACGUCAAAAACCAAGUCAAACAACUGCAUGGACCAGAAUGUCUUUAGGAAGUAUUCAGGGGAGAUAAACAACUAAAAUGUCUAAUUGAAGAACAUGGAAUAUUGAAUACCUUUUGGUAAAAUCCUCUGCAACAACGACUCCUCAGAUUUUUUGACUGGUUUCUCAUUGUUAUUUGUGUUCUGACAGUCAACAGACGCGUGCGUGGCACAGUCUGUGUAGUACAUGAGCAGGACAACAUCAAGCAGGAACCAGACAAGGGAUGUGGCCAGGAUUAUCUUGCAGUACUGAAGUUUCAAUCGACUCACCAUGGUUAUUCUAGACGGUGGUUAAUUUUAGCCU